AGGCACUCUGGGAGGAGUUCUAUUCAGGACACCUUUUUAGAAAUUAAAAUUCCCAAAGUUCACAGGCUAGGAGUUACAGGCGCCCACCCGUUAGUACGGCCUUGGGCUUCAAGAGCAAAGCGCGGAAGGAGAGUGGAAAGGAAAGUGCCUACAACUCCCAGAGCGCCACGCGGGAGGCGUCCCGGCGCUGCCCGCUGCAGUCGCCGAGCGGCGCCGCGCUUUCUGUGAGGCCCGCCUGUCGCUUGCCGGUCCUACCCGCGCUCGCCGCCCUCGCGCCCGCCCCGCAGCCGGCGCGUCCAGCCGGCGCCUCGGUCUCGCCCUCCGCGAAGGCGGCCCGAUCUGCCCUUCACAGCCGCCUCUGUCCACUAAGGUCACCGAGGGGCCCGAGGCGCCACCGGCCCUUCUCGGAGGCCCUCGCUACUCCCGCUCCAUUCCCCCAAAUGCUCUGGACUCCCGGGAUGCUCUGGGGACAGGACAGACGCGGUCCCUGCUGCCACGAAAGUCCCUGCUUGCAGACUGUUGGAAUUGAGAAUCUCAAAGCAGAGAAGAGGAAGAGCUACAACACGCGAUCAUUGCUAUGAAAGAAACAUGGUCCCGUAGAGAGAAAAGCCGAUUUUAGGUGGGCCAACUUAGGCCCUUUGGUCUCCACCACGCCUCCCACCCAUGUCUUGGUGCGGGGACGUGAGCAUAAUCGCAUAUUUCCGUGUCUUUGAAGGUAUAUGGGGGGCAACACCCCGCCGCCCCCGACGGGAUCCCUGCACAGGACCUGGCAUUUCCCUGCCUGGACGCUGCUGUAAAGUCAGGAGAGACUAAAUGGAAACCACGGAUUCCUAGAUGCGGCUCCCGUGAACCUUUGGGCUAUUUGGGGGGAACCUUUGCAGUGUUUGAACUUAUAGUCCCUCUCCUGCUUUCCACAGACAACGUUGCCAGACACAUUAGGGGGCUCCAUAAAUAUUUGAGCACCUCUUAAUAUGUCAAAAUGUCCAGAUUCAGAGACAGGAAGAAGCACAGCGCUCCCAGCAUCCAACUCUGGCGGAGCUCAGCAAGCCUGGGCAGGGGGUUGGCAGGUGUAGAAGGCACUUUUACCACUUUUAAUACUGAGGAUUCAUCAGUAUUUCCUUCCAGCUCACAUUCUGCGGUAGAUUUAAAUGCUUGAAAUCCUCUCACAGCCCCUCAUCCCCUAUACGAUGAAAUUCAAGCUCCUUAGCACAAUCUGGAAGCCCCUUCGUGGUUUGGAGGUUGUCUAACUGACCAGGUUCAACUGCCUCUCCUUGCCUGGAACUUGCCAGGCUCGCGAAUUCAGAACAUUUGUAGGUCCCUAGUUGUUUCAUGUUUUCCCUAAAAGUCUUUGUCUCCCAGCCAACAAUCCUUUGUCCGUCUCCCCCCCCACCCCGCCAACUAUCCUUUAGACUUGAUUCUGGUCCCUCAGAACUAUCUGCUCUUCUCGAGGGUUUCUGGGGAUUCUAGAACAGCUGGGUUUGAAGCAUGGCUCCACAUUCUGGAUCUGGGGCUGCUUCUAGAACCUGCUUCUCACAGCUUCCUUGUUGGCCAAGCAGCGGUGAUAUUAGUACCUCUCCUCACACAACUGCUAUGGACAUGAUAUAGGAUGAUACGGGUAUGGAACUUAUCCAGAUAAAUGUUAGAUAAGGUAACAAGAACAGCUGAUGGCUAUGUGUGCCAAGCCCUGUUCAAAGUGUUAUGUGUUCCAAGCGUCGUAUGUUAAGUGAUUUAACUCUUCUCAUCUUCACAACGGCCUUGUGAAAGUGUUAUCAGCAUUCUCAUUGUGCAAAUGAGGGAACCGCCCAAGUGACUUUCCAAGGUCACCCUGCCGGGUCAAGAAUGGUGCCAGGAAUUGAACCCAAGCUGUCCGAUUGCAGAGAUCACACCAUGCUAUGGUGCCUCUCAGGAAAAGCUCUGGAAACACCACCUUCGUCAACGAGGACAGGUCCCAGGCCAGUGUCUAAAGCACAGAGGAAAUGUUAAGUGCUCCGAUAGCUGUGGACCUAGCAUGAUCUUCCCAUCUCCCUGGCUCUUGCGCUUAACUUCUAGCAGGCCAUCUGCUUCCAGUCUGCUGACUUGAGCUGAGAUCCUGCCCUCACCCCCAGAAUGUUGCCUCUUGAUCACUGAUCGUGCACAGACAUCUUCGGGAAGGUUCAUAGGGAGGCUGGUUCACUCAGCUCGUAGUAACUGAGCACCCAGUUCCUGAAGGUACAUCCUGAAUGGUGGGAAUUGAAAUUCCUGUGGCCUCCCGCGCAGUGGAGCCUCCUGAAGAGACCCCUGAACUGCUAGCAGACAACCAGCCGGUGGGAAAGGUGGGGCCUCACUGGUGCUCGAAAAUAAUAGCACUUCUCCGGCACCCUUUUCACUCACUCAUUCUUAGAGCCAACAAGUAUUGAGUGCACAUUCAGUGCCAGGUACUCUCAGGCACCAGACACAGCAUUUAGUAAGGACCUGAAUGAAGAGAAACAGUGUGCACAUGUAGACCUAGCGACAGAGUGUUCUGCACAAGAGAAGAGGUGUGAAGGCUCUGGAGUGUGAGCAAGCUUGAUGUGUUCCAGAAAUGAGAUGAGGAUACCUGGAGCAUGAACCGUGAUUCCUGCUCGCUGGAGCAGGAAUUGAGAGCCACACCCUCAGGGGUGCUACUGUCACACAGCUGCUGUCACCACCACGGCCUGAGGGGCCACCAGAAUCCUGGGCUGGGAUGGCUCCUCCCUCCCUCCUGUCUUCUGAAGCCCUGCUGGUGCCUCCUGGAGGCAGGGUCACCUGACCAGGGCAUCUGGGAAACGAGGUUUGCAGGCUCCCGGUCCUGGCUGUGAAGAAGAGCCUAAAAAGGCAAGCGCAGGACGGGAACCACAGACGCCAUUCCCACACCAGCCACUGCACACCUCUGUAUGAGGAGGGAAACAAGUAUGUGUUCAACAAAUUACUGCACGGAUGCUUCAUAGCACGUAGUAAGCAUGUGGGAAAGGCAAACAGAAACACCUUUAGUGUAAUAUCUUAUACUAAACACCUUUAUAUAAACACCUUUAGUAUAAUAUUUUAACGUGAAGGUCUGAACUUCUGAUGUGAGGCAUCAAAAAUGAGCAUUUUUAAAAUAGAAUCUUAAAUCCGAAUGGGUGAUGUAUUCACCCAUCGAAUUCAAAUUGCAAAGCGAUAUGCGGCGAAAAUAAGUUUCUCAUAUCCUGUCUUCUCAUUGCCUCAUCCUUGACUCCUCCUAAAGCUAUCGCUGGUCCCUUUCUUCUGUGUCUACGGAUCGUCCAGACCGGGGCAAGGGUAUGCGUCUAUUCAAAACAACUGUUUUCUUUGACCCACAGGGUGCGUGCCACGCACACAGCUCCGGGACUCGCGUUUCUCUCUCCACCGAAUCUUGGAGGUCGCUCUCAGCACACACCACUUUGUCUUACCAGAACCAUGAUUUUCCUAGCCAGCCUCCCGUAGUCUUUUACCGUUUCAGAGAGGGCUGCGGUGCGUACACUUGCACAACUUCCUAGUGCCCGUGCGCAUGUCUUCCUGUGGGAUCAUUUCCAAAAGGGAACUUGCUGGGUCAAAGGCUGUGGGCGCUUGUCACUGUGAUAAAUACGGCCCGACCGCCCUCCGCUCCCACCAGCGGGGGCUGUUUUCCCGAAGCGUCACCGGCACCCUCUUCACGCCGCCCCCAUGGAGGCCCCAGACGUGGAGGGACAGAGAUAAGCCCUCCCUGCUGUGCCCUGUCUGGAUUCCUGACCCACAGACUGCAUGAGCAGGAUCAAAUGGCUGCUGCUCUAUGCCUCCGUGAAGUGGCUGGUUACGCGGCAGUAGGCAGCUGGAACAGCCCCUUCCUAAACUCCUUUUGGCACAGCUCUGCACUUGGUGAGACAAAAGUGGGCCUACCUGUGCUCCCUGCUGCAAAAGCGCAGUCGUUAGCCCAACUGCAGCUGGCCAGUGUCCUUCCAGGAUGUUCCUGGGGAGCCUCCGUCAUCCCACCCAUCGAUCGGCAGGCCACCUCGGAUGCAGAAAAGGCCCCGGUGUGUGUGCAGAAACCACACUCUUCCGGAACCCCCAGCACAUGCCGUUCACGCCCGUUAAGAUAAAACAGUUGCCACAGUUACACACAGCGAGUCUGGGAAAGGCACAGAUCGCUCCUAAUUUAUCUUCUUGGUGGAGACUGAUAGCGGCCAGCAUGAGCGGUGAGCCUACUUAGCAGUUGUGGUGAUCCAUGGGAGGUAUGUCACUCGCUCAUUUGUCACCUAAUCCUUGCUGAGCACCUGCUCUGUGCCAGGUUGUGAAAAAGCCCUGGUGACAGAGGAAUAGAUGGAUGAGGCCGCUGCCUUCCAUCAGCCCUAGUUCAGGGCUGGGGCAGACGGGGCAAGGAUACCGAAGGGUGACGCGAACGGGUGACAUUCCAGUGUUGGUUUUUUAAGUUCGUUAAUUCAUUUAGAGAGAGCGAGAGCACAUGUGAGCGGGGGAGGGGGGGAGGGAAAGAGAGAGAGAAUCCCAAGCAGGCUCUGUGCUGUCACCGCAGAGCCCAGUGUGGGGCUUGAUCCCGUGAACCGUGUAAUCAUGACCUGAGCUGAAACCAAGAGUCGGACGCUGAACCAACUGAGCCACCCAGGCGCCCCUAUGGGAACGUUCCCGUGUUGAUAUGCGGAGGAAAUAGGCAAACUGGGCCAAGAUGGUUUGGUAAUAAUAGUGCCUUUUUGCAGUGCCUUGUAUGGCCUGCGCCUCCCUCGGGAGCGUGAGGUAGGCGAGACAUCCAUUCGUGUAUUGAUUUCGCAGCCGGACUGGGGCUGGGGGAUGGCAGGGGAAGGGAGGCGAUUCAGGAUAUAUUCCCAGGACAUUGAAACAUACUGUGUGUUCAUUCGCUAGGGCUGCCACAACAAAGUACUACAGACCGGUCCUCACAUGACCCCCUGUGCGCAUGCGCGCGCGCGCGCACACACACGCACGCUCCUCGUGUCUCCUUGCGGGUCCACAUUUUCUCUUCUUCUGAAGUAGCCAGUCAGAUCGGGUCAGGGCCACCCAUGUGCCCUCAUUUCACCUCACUUGCCUCUUUAAAGACUAUCUCCAAAUACAGCCCCAUUCUGAGGUCCCGGACUUCAACAUAUGAAUUUUGGGGUGACACAACUCUGCCCAGAAACACACUGUUGGCUAGUUUGGACUGAGGCCACCAUAUGUAGCAAGUCUCUGUGCCCUGCGGUGACCGUUGCCAACACCCAGCCUAAAAGAAGUUGGAGAUCCAAAGGAACAUUGAUUCGGGACAAGGAUGUGUGGGGUGACGACACUUGCCCUGGGCCCCGUGGGUUGGGCUGCUGUGGGCUGGUGGGUGGCUGCACGCGAAGCUGUCUAAAGGGCACCCGUGCUCUCGCCAGCACUAUUCAGUCACCAAACGAUGGAACUACCCACGGAUGAAUGGAUAAACCCAAACGAUGGAGUAUUAUUUGGCCAUUAAAAAAGUGGGAUGAAAAUGUUCUGGAAGCAGGCAGACGUGAUGAUCGGCAUCUGUGACAGACCCUUAGUCCACCCUCACUAGUGCUCCUUGAUGGGUUCACUCUUUGAGCACUGAAAUAUAUUUAUUUAAAUGGGAAACUCUAUGUGACUAUCCAAAUGUAAUGUCUGUAUCAUAGGCAGGACCUUACAAAAAUAAAUACAAUAAAACAACAAAAAAAAGGUUAUUAGAUUCUAGUUAGAUAUUGUCGCUCCCCUAAAGCUCCCUCAGAAAGGGGGGCGCUUGCCCCCUAGGUGAGAUGUUGCCAUUUAACUCUGGGCUCCGCACAACCCAGGACCACCUUGCUGGCCAGCCAGCCUUUGAGGAAAUAUAGCCUCACACUAAGUAAGGAGCACUCCCCAAAUCCCAGUGGGGGGGGCAGGGGAGGAUUUCUCUCUCUCUCUCUCUCUCUCUCUCUC